UGGGGAAUAUUGCACAAUGGGGAAACCCUGAUGCAGCGACGCCGCGUGGAGGAAGAAGGCCUUCGGGUUGUAAACUCCUGUCGUAAGGGACGAUAGUGACGGUACCUUACAAGAAAGCCACGGCUAACUACGUGCCAGCAGCCGCGGUAAAACGUAGGUGGCAAGCGUUGUCCGGAAUUACUGGGUGUAAAGGGAGCGCAGGCGGGUCUGCAAGUUGGAAGUGAAACUCAUGGGCUCAACCCAUGAACUGCUUUCAAAACUGCGGAUCUUGAGUGGUGUAGAGGUAGGCGGAAUUCCCGGUGUAGCGGUGGAAUGCGUAGAUAUCGGGAGGAACACCAGUGGCGAAGGCGGCCUACUGGGCACUAACUGACGCUGAGGCUCGAAAGCAUGGGUAGCAAACAGGAUUAGAUACCCCGGU
rnacentral:rRNA from 1 species